AGUCUGCAACUCGACUACAUGAAGCUGGAAUCGCUAGUAAUCGCAGAUCAGAAUGCUGCGGUGAAUACGUUCCCCGGUCUUGUACACACCGCCCGUCACACCAUGGGAGUCGGAAAUGCCCGAAGCCGGUGACCCAACCAAAAGGAGGGAGCCGUCGAAGGCAGGUCUGAUAACUGGGGUGAAGUCGUAACAAGGUAUC
rnacentral:rRNA from 1 species